UGAGCACUCUUUGCGUUUCGUAUACACAAACCUAUUCGUAUAUAUAUAUAUAUAUAUAUAUAUAUAUAUAUAUAUAUAUAUAUAUAUAUAUAGCUUAAGAUUUUGGUUUACGAAACACAAACAGUGCUCA